rnacentral:misc_RNA from 1 species
GUAUAGUGUUAUAGGCACAAGGCCCACUUAUUACAUUCUAUAACAUACAUUAGAGUAUAUGAAUAAACAUAGACCCGGAAAUAUAAGGAGAGACAAUAUCAAUCCCAAAACCUUAAUGCUAGCAUUAAGAAACUUGUCCAGGUCUACAAAUGGUGCACAGGUGGAGAUAUAAAGAUGACAGGUGUGCACAUGUUCAUUAAAGAACCAGCAGCAACCCAUCAGGUUUAUUUCAAUAAUGAUCCUUCCGCAGGUUCACCUACGGAAA